rnacentral:rRNA from 1 species
GUGGGGAAUCUUGCACAAUGGGCGAAAGCCUGAUGCAGCCAUGCCGCGUGAAUGAUGAAGGCCUUAGGGUUGUAAAAUUCUUUCACCGGGGACGAUAAUGACGGUACCCGGAGAAGAAGCCCCGGCUAACUUCGUGCCAGCAGCCGCGGUAAUACGAAGGGGGCUAGCGUUGCUCGGAAUUACUGGGCGUAAAGGGCGCGUAGGCGGAUCGUUAAGUCAGGGGUGAAAUCCCAGAGCUCAACUCUGGAACUGCCCUUGAUACUGGCGAUCUUGAGUGUGAGAGAGGUAUGUGGAACUCCGAGUGUAGAGGUGAAAUUCGUAGAUAUUCGGAAGAACACCAGUGGCGAAGGCGACAUACUGGCUCAUUACUGACGCUGAGGCGCGAAAGCGUGGGGAGCAAACAGGAUUAGAUACCCCGGUAGUCC